rnacentral:rRNA from 1 species
CCUACGGGGGGCAGCAGUGAGGAAUAUUGGUCAAUGGACGAGAGUCUGAACCAGCCAAGUAGCGUGAAGGAUGAAGGUCCUACGGAUUGUAAACUUCUUUUAUAAGGGAAUAAAACCUCCCACGUGUGGGAGCUUGUAUGUACCUUAUGAAUAAGCAUCGGCUAACUCCGUGCCAGCAGCCGCGGUAAUACGGAGGAUGCGAGCGUUAUCCGGAUUUAUUGGGUUUAAAGGGAGCGUAGGUGGACAGUUAAGUCAGUUGUGAAAGUUUGCGGCUCAACCGUAAAAUUGCAGUUGAUACUGGAUAUCUUGAGUGCAGUUGAGGCAGGCGGAAUUCGUGGUGUAGCGGUGAAAUGCUUAGAUAUCACGAAGAACUCCGAUUGCGAAGGCAGCCUGCUAAGCUGCAACUGACAUUGAGGCUCGAAAG